UACGUAGGAGGCAAGCGUUGUCCGGAAUUAUUGGGCGUAAAGAGCUCGUAGGCGGUUCGGCAAGUCGGAUGUGAAAUCUCCACGCUUAACGUGGAGGGGCCAUUCGAAACUGCUGUGACUCGAGUCCGGUAGGGGAGUGUGGAAUUCCCGGUGUAGCGGUGAAAUGCGUAGAGAUCGGGAGGAACACCAGAGGCGAAGGCGGCGACCUGGACAGGCACUGACACUCAACUACGAAAGCGUGGGGAGCAAACAGG
rnacentral:rRNA from 1 species